rnacentral:lncRNA from 1 species
UUCACUUUCAUUCAAUCUCGCUUUACUCUAACACGUUAUCACGCACGCCUCUACCGAGAGCACGGGCCACACAGCGACGCUCCCCGCACGGAUCGGUAGCGCUCGAGGCCACGCCCCAGACCAGCCCUCGACAGCGAUGCCGACGCCCCGUUGCUAUCCCCGGCGAGAUCUCUCUCCACGUGCGGCGCCCGCGCUUCCAGCAGCGGCCAUGGCCACAGGCGCUCACGGCGCGACGCGUAGCUUGGCAUCGAUGACCGACCUAUUCACAGCAAGACAUAGUACACAAGGCCAAUUAUUGAUGAAAUUGUCCAUUUGAUCUAGUCUUGUGAUUGAUCAAUGAUCUAACAAUUGAUUGUUUUCUCACGUACACAAUGCACUUGCGCGAAUCAUCUCCACUUGAGUGUACUGCGCAAGAAGAAAAGAAGACUUUGGCGGCACGGUGUGACGCCGAAGCCGUAUUGGACGCAUCGGCCAUCUACCAUAACAGAAUCAUGCAAAGACCAAACGCCUGAUCUAAAUUGCUACGAGAACAAGGCCACUCCUAUGGCGAAGCCCCCGGCGGCCGCUCGCAUCCGUGCGGUGCCGGCAACUCAGGCCAUCCACGGCGUGGACUCCGACAGCGGUUGCUCCAUGAAGCGAACCGCACGGGCAAGAAAUUGGGGAUUUCUUAUCCAUAUGGAUAACCCUCACGCUCUAUGCUAAUUCCAUGUAAGUACCUGCAUUUUUUGUUGAACCCAUGGGUUAACAGAUCUUUGCGAUUAAGCCAUGUGGCUAAUGAAUUUUAUGAACGAGUCAUCAUACUAGACUUAGCAGUUUAGCCCUCGGGCUUGCUGUUUUCAGUACUAUAACCAUAAGGUUAUUGGUAUUUGCGUUUUAUGCCUAAGGCUAGAGCAAAUACAUAUGAUAGAUCUCAAGCUUUAUGGUAAUUUUGUGUAUGUCCAUACAAAUUCUAUUCAAUACACGGAAUGUGCCCCCAAGGUACUAGCAUUCUUUAUGAUAAGUGCAACAACUAUGUUUUACAAAUGAUUUUUUUAUCUUGCAAAACUUAAUGUAAUUCAAACAAAGAUUACAAAGUGUCAUACUCAAUAUGACUACACCAAAUUUUAUUUGUGAAUCACAAGGUAUUGGUGGCAUCUACUGCAUAAUUUUGCAGAUUAUCCACCAUUACUGUAAGGUCUACAUCUUAUCACUAACAAGAUGACUACCUUUAAAGUGCUCUUCCAAAUUUAAUAUAUGACUACCUCAAGAUAUCAUAAGGUAAUACUCG